rnacentral:rRNA from 1 species
UACGAAGGGGGCUAGCGUUGCUCGGAAUCACUGGGCGUAAAGGGUGCGUAGGCGGGUCUUUUAAGUCAGGGGUGAAAUCCUGGAGCUCAACUCCAGAACUGCCUUUGAUACUGAAGAUCUUGAGUUCGGGAGAGGUGAGUGGAACUGCGAGUGUAGAGGUGAAAUUUCGUAGAUAUUCGCAAGAACACCAGUGGCGAAGGCGGCUCACUGGCCCGAUACUGACGCUGAGGCACGAAAGCGUGGGGAGCAAACAGGG